rnacentral:rRNA from 1 species
UACGUAGGGUCCGAGCGUUGUCCGGAGUUACUGGGCGUAAAGCGCGCGCAGGCGGCGGUGCUGGCCCGGCGUGAAAGCCCCCGGCUCAACCGGGGAGGGUCGUCGGGGACCGCACCGCUUGAGGGCGGUAGGGGCUGGUAGAAUGCCUGGUGUAGUGGUGAAAUGCGUAGAGAUCAGGCGGAACACCCGUGGCGAAGGCGGCCAGCUGGGCCGUCCCUGACGCUGAGGCGCGAAGGCGUGGGGAGCGAACGGG